UCCAGCACCGCCACCUCCCCUGAUGGCCAAGAUGGACUGUGACCAAAGAGGACUACAGUGGCAAACACUAACUGCUUUCAUUUAAACGAUUUGGACACAGCAUCUUCAACCUUCUCUUCCUUACACACCAGCAGACACAAAACACUACAGAGAAUUGAAGUGUGAGAUGUGACUCGUCAUCCCUGUGCGGCGACUUUUCAGAACUUGCCUCACUCUUGAAGAAUUCCUUUUAUUUUCAGAGCAGAAACAGGAACUCAUUCCAUUAUGAGAAAAUUCUCUAAUAUCAAUUUAAAUGUGAGCCUUUUACCACCAUGAAUAUAAAUAUUUACAUUCUUUUAUAAACCACUGUUUCAUGAUGGUGUAUGCCCAUCCAUUAGGUGCUUCCAGGUCUCUCCAAACUACGCUUCAACCUAAUUUACUUGACUUUUUUUUUUUUUUUUUUAAGCACUGCACCAGAACAGGAUGUCCUACAAGAACUGGCAGUGAAACCUUAGAUCAUUAAAAGUCCAGUACUAUAUUUUGCAACAUUUUUGAUGAAUCACAGGAUAAAUAUUUGGCCUGAGCAUGAUUUCUGCAAGCUUGAAUUGACUUUUCUCACCCUAUUUUCUUGUCCCUUGAUGCUUUGAUCUAGUGUAAAAGGAAGAAUGGACCAUAAAAACACUUAAGACAGAUAUUCUGGCUUCACAGAACAUGUUUUUUCCAUUUUGUCAAUUUUUAAUAAGGUUUCUGAUUUCUUGAACAACUGUAAAAAGAGAAACUGUGAUUU